GAUACUACCAUGACACUGGACUUCCCUGGGCAGACAACACCACCAUGUGUCCUGGAGCCCCCCCUCCACAGAUCCCUGCCCCACUAGAGAAAGAGAGAAACAGGUUGAGAGUUUGGAUCAACCUGCCAAAGCCCAUGUUCAGCUGGGAAACAAUAACACCAGACCUUCCACUUUCUGCACCCUACAAUGAUGCUCAGUCCAUACUCCCAGAGGGAUAAAGAAUAGCCUUGAAGAGCACAAUCACUUGUACUGUGAUACUUAAACUGGCCCUUGGGCUUUGCGCCAUGUGUGCUUAACCUGCUGUGCUACUGCCACACUCGGGGUCACUCGAAUGAAUAAAGAUUUGAACCACCUCGCCACCACCAGUGGUAUGGACCAAAGAUCUUUAUGGAGUGCAGAAGUUGGGAGAUGUGGUUCCAGAACUCAUCAGUGAAGUCAUCUACCCAAGGAAGUCAGGUUGGCAUCAUGGUAACAUCUACAACUUGGUGGCUGAAAAGCAUUAAGAUAUAAAGCAGAACAAAUUGUUUAAUAAUCAAGAAACUACAGACCAUUUGAUACUACAUCUGCUGAUCUCAACCAAAUCAAUGCAACCAGGGCCACCUCAACAUGUUUGACUUGGGACUGUGUCCAUUGACAACAGGCCUAGGAUUUCAACCCUCCAGCUCUAAUACUCAGGUGAAACCUUUCUUAGCUUAUAGAACUCCUAAGUUCCAUUUUGGGUGGCUCACUUCCUAGCAGAGUUAAAGAACCUAUUUAUAGACCAGAGCACAUGAGAUAGGGCACAUAUGAAUAUGUAUCCAUAAGUUAGUAGGAAAUAUAUACCUUAAAGUAAAAGUGUGUAAUAGUCUACAAUGACUCAAUAAGUGCUGCAAGCAAGUAGAAAGUCCUAAAAAAGACAGCAUGAAUUACUUAAUCAAAUAGUUUCUGCUUAGACCUAUAUAGCCUCCUAAUCUACUUCCUAUUUCAUUUCCCUCAAUGAUUGUAAGGAUAUUCCUGUCAGGUAAAGUAAGGACUACAAAGGUUGGAUAAGAGUAAGAGACUGUCAAACUUUAAUGAUGUCCCUUUUGUUCACUAUCAAGCCAUACCAGCUUUCAAGGUUCUUUGUUACUUUUUAAAAAAUAUUUUCUUUAAUCAUUAUUUUUUAUUUAUUUAUUUUCCCUUUUGUUGGUCUUCUUUUUUAUUGUUGUUGUAGUUAUUAUUGUUGUUGUUGAUGUCGUCGUUGUUGUAUAGGAGACAGAAAAAUGGAGAGAGGAAGAGAAAACAGAGGGGGAGAGAAAGACAGACACCUGCAGACCUGUUUCACCCUCUGUGAAGCGACUCCCCUGCAGGUGAGGAUCCGGGGAUCCAACCAGGAUCCUUACUCUGGUCCUUGUGCUUUGUGCCACUUGAGCUUAACCAGCUGUGCUACUGCCAGACUCCCCUCUUUCUUACUUUUUAAGCACUACUAUAAGUAAUAGACUUAAAGUUUUAUUUCUGGGUGAAAACUCACUAUUAAGAAAAUUCUACUUUCAGUGGCAGAUGUUAGACUUGUCUGUUAAAGAGAAGUUAUUUUGUUGAGGACAACUAAAUAAUCUAGGGGGAAGAAACAAAGAACAUCAAUUUGCAUACAUUGAAGAAAUACAGGUGCAGUAAAGGCACAGUCCAUAUCUGGAGAGAAAGGGAAUCUGGAGGGGUAACUCCAACAAUCAUUUUACUACUUUUCCUUUGGAAACAUUUCUUGAUUUUCAAGCAGUAGCUGAGGUGCUGAGAAUCAGAUAAAGUGAUAAGUGAGAGAAACUAAAUGGGAAUGCCAGCAAUCUCAUGGGGUUAGAAGAUAAAUAUCAAUCAGCUCAGGAUCCACCAAAGAGAAAGAAUCUGAUAUUGAUAACAG